GAACCAAUGCUAACAUUAGAUAUUUUUUGGUAGCUAUUUGACCAUGCAUGUUCUAGCUACAUAUGUUCCUAAUAAUCAAUGUCGACAAAGGUUGAUUCUACAAAGUAAUCUAACCUUCAGAGUCAUCUGUAUUUUUCCAAACCAUUUUUUGUAAUCUAAGGAAUAUAUCUCGAAGUGGUCUCCCUACUUGCAUCCAAAUAUACAAAAUUAGCAUGUCACAGUCAUAGGGAAAACUCUCAGCCGUGAUCCAAGCACAACUCUAGCUUGCUGAUACACUCUCGGCCUUAAAGAAACUAUCACUCCAAAACACUGUCCAGAUUUAAAGAACUCGAUGUUUCCUGACCCACUCUCAUGGAUACUUCCUAAUUUCCAGAUUCUUAAGAAUCAUAUAAUGUCUAUGAGUAAGACAGCAGAAAGAACCUAGCAUAAUGCCCUUACCUUACGUAUCUACGAUGUAAAUAUGCUAUCUAUAAGAGAACAAUGCCAAUGACUUGGCAGCUCCAAUUCCCAGUCAGUCUUUCAUUCCAGAGACAUAAUUCUCAUAUGUACCAUGUUCACGACCAAUAGGCUCUCACGUUUCAUGAUUUUAAGAAGGAUAUAAUCCAGGCCGAAGACAACCAAAAAGAUGGAUCAUGUGAACUUUUCUGCUAAGGCACUAAACAGAUAAUAAGACCAUAACUCCACCAAGGUGAUUUUGUCAAGCUAGAAAGCAAGAAAAUAUGCUUGAUGAUGUCAUGAGACACCUGGUCACCUUUCAUCAUGCAAACGCCCACAUGAUUGUGUAAGAAAUGCACCUCAAUUUUUCAAGUAUCUUGUAGAAUAUUAUCAUCCAUGAUGAUUCUUGUCUAAAGCAUGAAUGCAUCUACAUUUAGGCCACCAACACAGCUACCCUCAAAAUCUCUGAGCAAAUACAUACAAGAAGGCUUGCAUAUAUUAAUACCCACAACUAUUCCAAUCACUUUGUCUUGGUUCUUUACUUAACAUUAUUUCAUUCAGGCUCACAUCUUACUUAACAUUAUUCCAAGAACAAUGACUUUGAGAAAUCAAAAUAUAGAUCUCAACAAGCUGCAAAACCUGUCAGUCUCCAAGUUGAAGGAACUUUCUAUUUAAUGCAAAGCUUACAACUGAAAACAUGGUGCGAUUUUGUCCUAUUUUCUCCAAAGCUCCAACUCCAAAAAAGACACAGUCCUAAGUUUAAGACAUAAUAACCACCUCGUGCCCCACAACAUGACAACCCAUCCUUCCCCAAUGUCUCAAACCAACAGCUGAAUCGCAAGCAAAGAUCACACGCUACUUUUUCCCAUGUCCUUUUUUUAUCUUUCAUUUAAUAUAUGGAAUGUCACCAUACACACGCGGAAAACUUAAAUUAAAAAGAAGAUAUAGCAGUAGCACAUAAUACAUACAUCGGUAUCUUCUGCACAAAUUUUGUCCCCCCAAAACCAAAAAAGGUGUGAUCAACACCCUAUAAUUAGAAAAAACGAAGAAAAAAAAAUACAAUAAUAAUGUACAAGAUCCAAGAAAAUGAACACAAAUCACAGGGCAGAGUAUAAAAGGACCAGAAAAUUGACAGAAAAGGAGCAGAACCGAAACACAGUACAAGAAACAGUUAGCAGCAAAAGUUUGAUCAUCCGAGAAACAAAACAAGCACACGCUACCUCAGACUACCGAAUAGAAACAUCAAAGUACCAUCCAGGAAACUCCGGCAGAACAAAGUCGAGAACAGAAAAACGAACAAGCUCCGAAGCGAGAAAGAUACAGAGAGCUUACCCGGGAAAGAAGCCUUCUUCAAGAAUGGGAGUGAGGGAUUCCCACCAUUCCGUCGAUCUCCAUGAAUCCCCGAUCGAGGUGAUAGCCCCGAAGCUUUCACGGCGGGGAAGCGAAUCCCCGCGAACGGGAAGGCCAUCGAUCAAGAACCAAGAACAAGAAGAUAACUCGAGGGUUUACGGAAGGAGGAGGGAAACAGUACGAGACGGGAGUUAUGGUUCUUGAUCUGGAUCCAAGAGCGAGUGGGGUUUGAGAGUGAGGCGCGGCGCGCGGGGAGGCGAAGGGAGUGACGGAUCCCCAGGACUUCUCUCUGUUUCCUUUGAAUGAUUCAAUGCGCGGUUGCUACGUGUGGGGAGGAGAGUUAACAGCUGUCGGCUCGUAACGGAGUGGGCGAGCAGAAAGCUGGAUAGGAGAUCAGCAACGAAAGGCGUCAGCCAUUUUGGGAAAGGCGGUUUGCUUUUAUUCUGGAAGCCAGAGGGGACUGUGCGCAGGUGUGGAACAAAACUCUCAGUGAUAACAGAGAUUCCUGGAUUAUAGGCGUUCGACGAGAGAUGGAUACCAAUGUUCAUUGGUUAAGUUAGAGUUGGAGUCAUUUGACUUGACUCAAGCUAACUACAGUUGAUAUUGUUCAGAUUUCUUUAUAUAGUACGAAUUAAAUUUAAAGUUCAACGGAGUGCUUGCCAAUGUUGAACAUGUGAAAAUAACUCACUAAUAAAUUGAUAAAUUGAUAUAUAUGAUCCGCCCUAUUUCCAUUUGUGUUCUCGGACUUGUUCAUCAGGGAUCUAGUUUUAGAUAUUUUUUUCUUCAAUAUGUCAUGCUGACAAUUAUAUAAUAUGCAAAAAAAAAAAAGAGGAAUUAAACAUGAGAUAUAGCCUCUAAGAUAGAAAAUGAGUAAAUUUGUUGCUAAAUACUAAAUUUGAUGCUGAUAAUUUAUUACAAUGCAACAUGUUGCACCCAAAGACUCGUAACUCGGUACAUGAGAUAUUAUUUAUUUUGAUACAUGGACUUCACGAUUUUAUCCUUCAAAAAAUAUCUCACAUGAGAAGAAUAAUUUUUUUGACUCAUAAUCAAUGUGAGACUAAUAAUAUUCUCCUUUCUAUACCACAAUAUAAUUUUCCAAUCAAUUGAGACAAAUGAUGCUCUUUUCUUAUUUUUAUCAAAUCUUCUAGCUGGUACGUUAUUAUUACGGUUAAGAACUCAUAGUUAGGCACGUGAAGUAUUAUUCAUUUUAAUCUAUAGAUCUCAUAAUUUUAUUUUUCAAAAAAUAUUUUAUAUAAAAAAAAUAAUUUUUUUAUAUAAGAUAGAAUCUUCUUUGACUCACAAUUAAUAUCAGAUUAAUUAUAUUUUUUUUAUAUUAUAAUUUAAUUUUUUAAUUAAAAUAAUAUAAAAAUAAAUCUCAUUUGGAGUCGAUCUGUUUAGCAAACAAAUAAAAUAACUUCUAUUCAAAAAAAUAAAUAAAAUAAUUUUGUAUGAAUAAAAAAAAAUGUUGCUUGAGAGAGAGAAAGAGAGAAAAAAAAUAAUAAUAAUAAUGAUAACGUUUUUAUCUCUUAAAAUCUGUGCGGCAAUCACCAAACACAUACCCAUGCGAGUGGGUCAAUAUAUCGACAGGUUGGACUAUCGAGUGCCAGAACCAUUCUGAUCGAGAGAAAUUUUGUACACUGUGGAUAGCGCAGAAUCACACACAUCGUCCAAAAUAAUUGACUCACAUAUAAAAUUAAAAAAAAAUUAUACAUUAUAUUUUCACCCCAUACGCGAGCUAAUCGUUAUGAAUGGUGCGCACGUUCCGCACCACUUGCGGUGCAUAAAGAAUUUCUCUUCUGACAGGUCAGGGGCCAACUUGACAAAUAAGCAAGCUGACCGUCCACGGCCUUUAAGAGCACCAAUCACUGAUUAGUCCAUGCUUUUUAAGCCACCGACGAGAAAGCUGCAAAGGACACUUAAUUUUAAGGAUUUUUGGCGCUACAAACCGAUAGAAACGAACAAACACCGUGUGGGGGAAAUAAAUUUUAUAAUUUAUUAUAUAUUUUUUAAUAUAAAUUUUAAAAAAUAAUUUUAAAAAUUAUUAAUAAAAUUAUUAGUCUUAUAAUUAAACCAUUCUUUUUCUUGUUCAUUUUCAAUAUAUAUUUUUAACGAUACAUACUAUAUAACCAUAUGAUACACACUAAAUAUAUAGUCAGAUGAUAUAUACCGUAAGCUUUUCUGAUAUACACCCAGCAACGAUCCAAUAUACAUCUAUAACUAAAUUGAUACAUAGUUUAUCAAACUUAAUAUUCACCAGUACACAGAUAUGAAUAAUUGAUACAUACGUAGCAAAAUAUUCAUCCGAUGUCUCAAUACAUACAUAUAGAUAAAGCAAUAUAUAGUUUUUAAAAUAUAACAUUCAUCAAUAUAUAAUAUAUGACUAAAUAAUACAUACUAGACAGCUUACUGAUACAUAUUAUAAAUUUUCUUAAUACACAUCCAAUAAUGACCAAUAUAUAUCUACAGAUAAAUUGAUACAUAGUUUACCAAAUUUAAUAUCUACCAGUACACAGUAAAUAGUCACUUGAUACAUACCUAAUAAAAUAUUUAUUUGAUGUCCCAAUACAUACUUUUAGAUAAAAUGAUAUAUAAUUUUUAUGAAUUUUUAAAUAAAGAUCUUAGAAAAGAAGAAAGAUUUAGAAGAGGAGAAAAAGAUUUGAAGAAGACCUCGUGGAUAGGAAAGAUAACAUAUGGAGUUUGUAAGACAAGAAGGAGACUUAGAAGGAAAAUUUUGUGGAUGAAAAAAAUAGCUUGAUAAGAAAGGUAAUAGAUAGAGAAAUUUGAUUAGGAAGAAGAAUAUAAAUAGUCACGAAAGAUCUCUCUUAGAUAUGCAUCUUAUUUUAUUUUUUUAUUAUUUUAAUUAUGAAACUAAUGAACUCUGUUAACGAGAGAAAUACAAUUCUUGUUUGACUUUUAGACUCCCUUUUUAAGAUGCGAAAAAAAAAAACAUAACAUGAAACUAGACUCACCUCAUAUGAUGGCCUAUAGUACCUGUUGGGAUAUACCGACCGGUCUCUCUCACGCUGACUCACCGUUGGGUCUGCCUGACCGGCAUCCGACUCUACCAACCGACGACUGCCGACGCUAUCCAACCGAAGGUAUGUCGGUAGGGCAAACCCUUUCCGUUCUCGACUGGCCGAACGAUGGAGCCCGACCUCCGACUUUCGCAAUGCAUCAGACUAACCGUCGGAGGGGGGGGUCCCUGGGUCUUCACCCGACAUCCCAGCCGGUCGGCUCCCUCAAACGCCGUACAACUGCUGAGGGCCACCAUCCUGACAAAGGCAUGCGGCAUAGCCGCCCUGGGACAUUGUCCUGCCAAGGACAUAGAUUAAUCCCGAUGAUUUGACAACCCAUUAUGACUUGACAGUCCGUGGCGACUCUGACAGCCUCCGACGAUUUGACAACUCCCCCCAGUUGUCUGCACCAUUAAUGACGGCACCACGCCGCGCUCUACUAUAAAAAGGAGAAGGCAACAGUGCUGCGGGAGGUUCUUUCGAAGCCCCUGAACUCCCCCUCUCUAGUUCUCUCUCUCUCUCUCUCGCUGAGCUCCCCUGAUUCUUUCCUACUGUUGCCUAGUCUCCUCUCUGACUUGACCGUCGGAGGGUCCCCGUCGGAGGCAUCUCCGGUCAGUGUGGACUUCCCUUGCAGGUGUUCGUUCCCGACGACCAGACGACGAGGAGAUUGGCCGCAACAGGUUUUGGCGCGUCAGGUAAGGGAGGUCUGACCUCCACAGAGCUUGAAAAAAUUCUUUCGAAAUGACAAGAACCAGGGCUCAGCGAUCGAGGGCCACCAGGUCGGCGAGGCACUCUUCCUGUCGGGAAGAGACCUCUCCUCCACCCUCCAUGGUGGAGCCCAGCUCUCCGCAUCCUGUGGUGACCACGGAGGCGCAAAUUGCGGCAAUUGUGCGGCAGAUGACUAUGCUGAUGGAUGCAGUCAAGAGCCUUCAACAACAACCAAUCCGGUUGCCGCAAUCGUCGGUGGGGCAACCGGCGGUGCACCCGAUGCCCUCCAGGAGCAUCCACCGACGCCCGUGUCGGUCUCCGUCUCCUCCUCUGGAGCAGCUGUCACAGCACUCCCAUCGAGAGGAGGAGAGGCGGCCAUGGCAUGAUACCCAUCGAUCCCGACAACCGUCUCCUUCCUAGCUGGAACGAGCGAGGAAGGAGAAGCGGCCACGAACACCGUCUGCCUCCCUCUCGGAUUCGUCGGGGGACUCCACCCCCGGGGUCUCCCAGCUCCGAUGGGCCGACGAUUACGAACGCAGGUUCGAAGAAAUCGAUUGUCGGCUCGCCCAGCUUCAGGUGGAUGGGUAGAAGUCUUCGAACGACGUCAACUUUCAGACUGCCCAACCUCUCUCCCGACUCAUCCUCGAUGAGCUGAUCUCUAGUCGGUUCAAGAUGCCUCAUGUGGAGCCCUAUGAUGGCUCCACCGACCCAAUCGACCAUCUGGAGAGCUACAAGGCUCUCAUGACGAUUCAAGGGGCAACCGAUGCUCUUCUCUGUAUCGGCUUCCCCGCCACACUUCGUAAGACCGUCAGGGCCUGGUACUCCAGCCUCCACUCAGGAAGCAUCCACUCCUUCGGACAGCUCGAGCAUACUUUCGUGGCCCAUUUCAGCACCAGCCGAAAGCCCCCACGAACUUCGGACAGCCUUUUUUCCCUCAAGCAGGGGAAAAACGAGACUCUCCGAUACUUUGUGAUGCGAUUCAACGUGGCCACGCUUGAGGUUCGAGACCUCAACGAAGACAUGGCUAUCUCAGCCAUGAAAAGAGGGGUAAGAAAAUCCCGAUUUACGUACUCCUUGGACAAGACCCUCCUCCGGACAUACGUCGAACUGCUGGAGCACGCAUACAAAUACAUGCGCGUAGACGAAGGAGCUUCCGACCGGCGUCUGACUGAGGCCAAGGGUCCGAAGGAGAAGUGAAGGAAGGGUCGGACCCCUGCCGAGCCUAGCAGACCCUCGAUCGACAAACAGGUCUCACCCCAGUGAUGGAGCCCGAGAUCGCCUCGACGGCGAAGUCCGAGGCCGAUGUAUCCCAGGUAUGACUCCUAUACUCUCAUUUCUGCUCCUCGUGCGCAGACUUUGAUGGAGAUUGAAGGGGAAGAAUAUUUGCGACGACCUCCGUCUUUGAAGGCAAAGGGCCUCGACCAGCGAAAGUACUAUCGAUUUCAUCAGGGCCACGGCCACAACACCGAGCAGUGCAUCCAACUCAAGGACAAAAUUGAGGCCCUCAUACGUCGGGGGUAUCUCGAAAAAUUUCGAAGAAAACCGUCGACCCGACCCGUCCCGUCCCCGACCGACGACCCCAAUCGACCGAGGAAGCAGCGAACAAUCAGCCCACGGUCGAGGUCAUCAACAUGAUCUCCAAACGACUGGACUCGGGGAUGACUGCUGGAGGGGAGUCGACGAAGAAGCUACGCCAAGACAAUGUAAUUAUUUUUACAGACGAGGAUGCUCGGAGAAUUCAAACUUCCCAUGAUGAUGCUGUUGUUGUCUCAGCAACAAUAGCAAAUUAUGAUGUAAGAAGAAUCUUUGUUGAUAAUGAAAGUUCGACUAAUGUUUUAUUUUAUUCGACCUUCUCCCGAAUGCGACUGUCGACUGAUCGGCUCGAAAGAGUCUCCACACCCCUGGUGGGUUUCACCGGAGAAGCCGUCACGGUGGAAGGAGAAGUUACUCUUUCUGUGACAGCUGAAAUCGAACCACGAUAAAGUACCAUCCACCUAACCUUUACAGUCGUUCAAGUACCUUCGGCCUACAAUGCCAUACUUGGAAGACCUGGGCUAAAUACCCUCAAAGCUAUAGUCUCGACCUACCACCUGCUGGUUCGUUUUCCGACCAAAAAUGGAGUCGGAGAUAUGCGGGGAGAUCAACAGCUCACUCGGUGAUGCUUCCAAAUUUUUGCUCAAAGUAAUGAAGCAAAGGACUCCCUGACGGUCGACAAGUUGGACCAGCGGGGAGAGAAAGAAUGGGGCGAACCGACCGAACAGCUGGUUUUCGUCCCGAUAGCAGGGAAUCCCGAAUGAGUGGUCUGGGUCGGAUCCCAAUUAUCCGACCCUGAGCAACGGCAGCUAGUAGAACUGCUGAAGGCCAAUACCGACGUAUUCGCUUGGUCGGCAGCGGAUAUGUCUGGCAUCCCCCCUGAGACGAUGACUCACCGACUCAACAUCAACCCUGAAAUGAGGUCGGUGAGGCAGAAGAAGCGAUCUUUCG
rnacentral:lncRNA from 1 species